GGAUUAGUAGUCAAGUGGUAACGACACAGUUCUUUCAAUGCUGUCACCACAGGUUCGAAUCCUGUCUAGUCUA
rnacentral:tRNA from 1 species